rnacentral:rRNA from 1 species
GGCCAGCAGCCGCGGUAAUACGUAGGGUGCAAACAUUACCCGGAUUUAUUGGGCGUAAAGAGUUCGUAGGCGGUUUUGUAAGUUGGAUAUUAAAGACCCAGGCUCAACCUGGGGAAAGUAUUCAAAACUGCAUAACUAGAGGUGUGCAGGGGAAGAUGGAACUUGUGGUGUAGCAGUGAAAUGCGUAGAUAUCACAAGGAACGCCAAUGGUGAAGACAGUCUUCUGGGCACAACCUGACGCUGAGGAACGAAAGCGUGGGGAGCGAACGGGAUUAGAUACCCCGGUAGUCCACGCCGUAAACGAUGCAUACUAGGAUUUCGGAGAAUCGACCCUCUGGGAUUCGUAGCUAACGCGUUAAGUAUGCCGCCUGGGUAGUACGGCCGCAAGGCUAAAACUUAAAGGAAUUGGCGGGGGAC